GGCGCAGUAGCUCAGUGGUAGAGCGCACGAUUGCAAAUCGUGGGGCCCUGAGUUCAACCUCGGCUGCACCC
rnacentral:tRNA from 1 species